GUUGCCCAAAAAAUGAACCUUAGUUCAACUUUAGACUAAUACUAUUAAGCCAACAACAUAACCCUUGGCCCCCCCCGGUCUAAAAGAUAGUCAAUGGGGGCACAGCUCCAUUGACAUAGGAAACAACCCUAAGUAGAGACAAACUAAUUGCUACCAAACAAAGUAGGCCCUUAAGCAGCCAACACCAGCCAAAUGCGUUAAAGCACACUCAUUCAUAAUCUCAGCAAUUAACAAAACCUCCUAUCAUGACAUCGGGCCACCCUAUCUUUAUAGAAAAACUAAUGUUAAAACUAGUAAUAAGAAUGUACUUCUCCUUGCACAAGUAAACACAUUAACAGGCCAAUAAAAGGCACACACAAACCAACAAGACUAACCACCCCAACAACAACUGUUAACCCAACCCAGGAGUGCACCCAGGAAGAUUAAAAGCUACAAAAGGAACUCGGCAACUAAAAAUCUCAACUGUUUACCAAAAACAUAGCCUUUAGCAAUUAAGAGUAUUAAAGGUGCCGCCUGCCCAGUGACAUGUUAAACGGCCGCGGGAUCCUCCACCGUGCAAAGGUAGCAUAAUCAUUUGUCCCCUAAAUAGGGACUAGUAUGAAUGGCCCAAUGAAGAUUUACCUGUCUCUUGUAGCUGAUCUAUGAAACUGAUCUUCCAGUACAAAAGCUGGAAUAAUAACACAAGACGAAAAGACCCUGUGGAACUUUUAAACCGCAACCAACACACAUGGCCACGCCGCUUUUAGUUGGGGCAACUUUGGAAAAAAACACAACUUCCAAUCAAGGAGCAAUUUAAAACACGCCUUAGGCCGACACGCCUAUUUUCCUCCCCAUGACCCAGUACAACUGAUUAAAGAAACAAGCUACCCCAGGGAUAACAGCGCCAUCCCCUCUUAGAGCCCAAAUCGACGAGCGGGGCUUACGACCUCGAUGUUGGAUCAGGGCCCCCCAGCAGUGCAGCAGCUGCUAACGGUUUGUUUGUUCAACAAUUAAUGCCCUACGUGAUCUGAGUUCAGACCGGA
rnacentral:rRNA from 1 species